AUGGAGUAGCCGCAGCUACGUGUACAAGCUUCCACUGAGCUAAACCAGCAGUUAACAGGGCAAGUUUUAGAGUGCCUUUGUUCCGCUUAACAGACACACAAUGCAAUUAAAAUGUCUGUGCAACAUGAACAGGGCCCCUACAUGACAAGAAGAUGUGGCUUCAACUCAGACAUGGUUUUAAUUCAGCUACCCUGUCUCGAUCUUGCCGGUGGGUAGCUUACCCGGUUAGCUGCUAGCUGCUAGUGAUACGUGUGUUCAGCUCGGCUUUUGUGAAAAUCUUAAAGCAGCAGUUCCGUGUGUAUUUGCAGCGCAUCCAUUUUGUGUGUGAUCGAUCUGGUGUUGGUGAGUAGGAGGCUAGGCAGUGUCGAUCUGUGUGGUAGUACCCUUAGCUGCACUAGGGGGCCC